rnacentral:rRNA from 1 species
GAUGAACGCUGGCGGCGUGCCUAAUACAUGCAAGUCGAGCGAACGGACGAGAAGCUUGCUUCUCUGAUGUUAGCGGCGGACGGGUGAGUAACACGUGGAUAACCUACCUAUAAGACUGGGAUAACUUCGGGAAACCGUAGCUAAUACCGGAUGAUAUUUUGAACCGCAUGGUUCAAAAGUGAAAGACGGUCUUGCUGUCACUUAUAGAUGGAUCCGCGCUGCAUUAGCUAGUUGGUAAGGUAACGGCUUACCAAGGCAACGAUGCAUAGCCGACCUGAGAGGGUGAUCGGCCACACUGGAACUGAGACACGGUCCAGACUCCUACGGGAGGCAGCAGUAGGGAAUCUUCCGCAAUGGGCGAAAGCCUGACGGAGCAACGCCGCGUGAGUGAUGAAGGUCUUCGGAUCGUAAAACUCUGUUAUUAGGGAAGAACAUAUGUGUAAGUAACUGUGCACAUCUUGACGGUACCUAAUCAGAAAGCCACGGCUAACUACGUG